rnacentral:rRNA from 1 species
GUUAAGUGGAAAAGGAUGUGGGAUUUCGAAGACAACCAGGAUGUUGGCUCAGAAGCAGCCAUACAUUCAAAGAGUGCGUAAUAGCUCACUGGUCGAGAGGUCCUGCGCCGAAAAUGUCCGGGGCUGAAACGCGCCACCGAAACUAAGGAACCGAAAGGUUGGUAGAGGAGCAUUGCAUGCGGGAAGAAGCAGUACCGAAAGGAGCUGUGGACUGCAUGGAAGAGAGAAUGCCGGAAUGAGUAGCGAGAUAGAGGUGGGAAUCCUCUAGGCCGAAUAUCCAAGGUUUCCAGGGUAAAGCUGAUCUGCCCUGGGUAAGUCGGGGCCUAAGGCGAGGACGAGAGUCGUAGCCGAUGGACAACAGGUGGAGAUUCCUGUACUGCGGUAUGACAGAACUGUGGGGACACGUAAGGAAAGCGGAAGCCGGGAAUGGAAAGCCCGGUGCAAGCGGGGUACCAGUCACUUUGGCAAAUCCGGGUGGCAAUGGGAAGCCGUGAUGCGGAGCGAAAUAAAGUAGCGAAGUCCGUGAGCCAUGCGUCAAGAAAAGCCGCUAUCGUUUAUACCGUACCCGUACCGUAAACCGACACAGGUGGAUGAGGAGAGAAUCCUAAGGCCGGCGGAAGAAGCAUUGUUAAGGAAUUCGGCAAAAUGACCCCGUAACUUCGGGAGAAGGGGUGCCUGCGAGAGCAGGCCGCAGAGAAUAGGCUCAAGCAACUGUUUAGCAAAAACACAGGUCUAUGCGAAACCGAAAGGUGAGGUAUAUGGGCUGACGCCUGCCCGGUGCUGGAAGGUUAAGAGGAGAGGUUAGCGCAAGCGAAGCUUUGAAUUUAAGCCCCAGUAAACGGCGGCCGUAACUAUAACGGUCCUAAGGUAGCGAAAUUCCUUGUCGGGUAAGUUCCGACCCGCACGAAAGGCGUAAUGAUUUGAGCACUGUCUCGACAAUGCAUCCGGUGAAAUUGAAGUACCAGUGAAGAUGCUGGUUACCUGCGCCAGGACGGAAAGACCCCAUGGAGCUUUACUCCAGUCUGGUACUGGGACUCGGUAUUGCAUGUACAGGAUAGGUGGGAGGCUAGGAGAUGGUAACGCCAGUUGCCAUGGAGCCGCUGUUGGGAUACCACCCUUGCAGUAUUGGGUUUCUAACCAGCCGCCGUGACCCGGCGGUGGGACAAUGCCAGACGGGGAGUUUGACUGGGGCGGUCGCCUCCGAAAGGGUAUCGGAGGCGCCCAAAGGUUCCCUCAGAAUGGACGGAAACCAUUCGAAGAGUGCAAAGGCAGAAGGGAGCUUGACUGCGACACCGACGG